rnacentral:rRNA from 1 species
UAAUUGAAGAGUUUGAUCAUGGCUCAGAUUGAACGCUGGCGGCAGGCCUAACACAUGCAAGUCGAGCGGUAACAGGAGAAAGCUUGCUUUCUUGCUGACGAGCGGCGGACGGGUGAGUAAUGUAUGGGGAUCUGCCCGAUAGAGGGGGAUAACUACUGGAAACGGUGGCUAAUACCGCAUAAUGUCUACGGACCAAAGCAGGGGCUCUUCGGACCUUGCGCUAUCGGAUGAACCCAUAUGGGAUUAGCUAGUAGGUGGGGUAAAGGCUCACCUAGGCGACGAUCUCUAGCUGGUCUGAGAGGAUGAUCAGCCACACUGGGACUGAGACACGGCCCAGACUCCUACGGGAGGCAGCAGUGGGGAAUAUUGCACAAUGGGCGCAAGCCUGAUGCAGCCAUGCCGCGUGUAUGAAGAAGGCCUUAGGGUUGUAAAGUACUUUCAGCGGGGAGGAAGGUGAUAAGGUUAAUACCCUU